CCUACGGGGGGCAGCAGUGGGGAAUAUUGCGCAAUGGGCGAAAGCCUGACGCAGCGACGCCGCGUGAGGGAUGAAGGUCUUCGGAUCGUAAACCUCUGUCAGCAGGGAAGCAAGGUCACUGUGCUAAUCAGCAGUGAAUUGACGGUACCUGCAAAGGAAGCACCGGCCAACUCCGUGCCAGCAGCCGCGGUAAUACGGAGGGUGCGAGCGUUAAUCGGAAUUACUGGGCGUAAAGCGCUCGUAGGCGGUAUGUUCAGUCAAGGGGUAAAUCCCCGCGCUCAACGUGGGAACUGCCUUUGAAACGGGCAAACUGGAGUGUGUGAGAGGAUAGUGGAAUUCCAGGUGUAGGAGUGAAAUCCGGAGAUAUCUGGAGGAACAUCAGUGGCGAAGGCGACUAUCUGGCACAUAACUGACGCUGAGGAGCGAAAGCGUGGGUAGCAAACAGGAUUAGAUACCCCUGUAGUC
rnacentral:rRNA from 1 species